UUCGUCGACUCGUAUGCUUUGUUCCCGCAUGGUUUUUCAUCAAUGGUCGUCGAUUCUUCUGUCUUUCUCUUCCCGAAUACCAUUGCGACCUAGGAGGCUAGGAUAUGAAUUAUUGUUAUCAGCAAUGUAGUUGUGGGUGUGUGGUUGGUCGGUGUGCUUAACCUGUGACAUUUUUCAUCAUAUAAAUGGGUUAAAUGGUAACAAACAGCCCACAAUUUAUACUUGGCAAUUCCAUCUGACCAUUUGGCCUGAAACUGCUAUACAUUUUCCCAAAGUACUUCAAAACAGAAAAAUUCUAAUUGCUGUCCUUUGAAAUACUUUGUGCUUGAAGGUAUUUGUUGUUGAACUCAUGCCAACAGGCUCCAAUGUCCAUUCACAUUCCUGAUGCAAGAAAACCAAAGAAAACUGAACUGCAAAAAUAUUAGGAAAGUAUCCUGUGGCAAAAUUAGAUUUGAUUCAGUCUUAAAUUAACUCCCAACAUUAUUAAGUGCACACAAUUUUACCAGCUUAUACCACGUUGGUAAUUUUAGCUGACAAGAUCACAAAACAAUGAAAAGCCGUCUCCACCGCGCUCUCUUUAUCACUUAAUAUGGACGUGCUACGUUGUGCUGUUAACAAAUAGUGUAAAGGAUUGUCAUAACGUAAAAAAAAAGAAAUAUUUUAAUUUUUUUCUUACCACUCGUCUACUAUCUUUGUAGUAGCACACAUAACCCAACGAAGUUUAACACUUAUCUGUAGUAAAGGAAACAUUUAACCCGAACUGUAGGUAUCGAACCCCACGGGAAGGAAGGUUGCAACGGAACGGUAAUUUUCCUGAAAACGUAUUUAUUGAAACGAGGCAUUAAAACAAGAUUUGUUAAUCAAUAAUUUAUUUAUUUUGAAUCGAAUUUAAUGUUAAAAUUUUUUUCUAAAGGAGCGGCCGAAAAGAAGCAUUAUUUAUGGCGAUAAAACGUUUUAGGAUACUUCAAUUUUUAACAGAAACUUAAUAAGCUGGAGCCAUGUACGAAGGAGCUUUGUAUGCAGGGGGAGUAUAAGCAGGAGGAGUGUAAGCAGGAGGUGUGUAAGCGGGAGGAGUAUAAGCAGGAGGCAUGUACAAAGGAGCUUUGUAUGCAGGUGGAGAAUAUGCAGGAGGAGUGUACGCAGGAGCCAUUGGUUUGUAUCCGUAUCCUGGAUUACCAGCCACCACCGCAACGGCAGCCAAGAAGCAAACGGCGAAAUUCAUCAACGACAUCUACUCGGAAAGAAAUUGACGAAAUUGAAAAGAAAGUGACAAGAAACGAAUGUGAAGAAAGUGAGGAGAUGCUGGAUAAGCUACAGGUUGAAGAUAUCGGAACUGACUGACAGCCAAAGUAUUUAUACUCUUUCGUCUUGUAUGCAUGUUAUUACCUUGUUUACAUGGC